GCACGGGUGAGUAACACGUGACUAACCUACCCUUGAGUGGGGAAUAACUUCGGGAAACCGAGGCUAAUACCGGAUAACACCUACGGGUCAAAGGAGCAAUUCGCUCGAGGAGGGGGUCGCGGGCGAUUAAGUUAGUUGGCGGGGUAAUGGGCCACCAAGAACAGUGAUCGGUAUCCGGGCUGAGAGGGGCGCACGGACACACUGGAACUGAAACACGGUCCAGACUCCUACGGGAGGCAGCAGUGGGGAAUUUUGCGCAAUGGGGGAAACCCUGACGCAGCAACGCCGCGUGGAGGAUGAAGCCCUUCGGGACGUAAACUCCUUUCGAUCGGGACGAUUAUGACGGUACCGGAAGAAGAAGCCCCGGCUAACUUCGUGCCAGCAGCCGCGGUAAUACGAGGGGGGCAAGCGUUGUUCGGAAUUAUUGGGCGUAAAGGGUGCGUAGGCGGUUUGGUAAGUCUUUUGUGAAAUCUAUGGGCUCAACUCAUAGACUGCAAGGGAAACUGCCGGGCUUGAGUAUGGGAGAGGUGAGUGGAAUUUCCGGUGUAGCGGUGAAAUGCGUAAUAUCGGAAGGAACACCUGUG
rnacentral:rRNA from 1 species